AUUGAACGCUGGCGGCAUGCCUUACACAUGCAAGUCGAACGGCAGCACGGGUGCUUGCCCCUGGUGGCGAGUGGCGAACGGGUGAGUAAUACAUCGGAACAUGUCCUGUAGUGGGGGAUAGCCCGGCGAAAGCCGGAUUAAUACCGCAUACGAUCUACGGAUGAAAGCGGGGGCCCUUCGGGCCUCGCGCUAUAGGGUUGGCCGAUGGCUGAUUAGCUAGUUGGUGGGGUAAAGGCCUACCAAGGCGACGAUCGGUAGCUGGUCUGAGAGGACGACCAGCCACACUGGGACUGAGACACGGCCCAGACUCCUACGGGAGGCAGCAGUGGGGAAUUUUGGACAAUGGGCGAAAGCCUGAUCCAGCAAUGCCGCGUGUGUGAAGAAGGCCUUCGGGUUGUAAAGCACUUUUGUCCGGAAAGAAAUCCUUGGCCCUAAUACGGUCGGGGGAUGACGGUACCGGAAGAAUAAGCACCGGCUAACUACGUG
rnacentral:rRNA from 1 species